AAAAGGUGAGCCAGUACAGGAUGGACCCGCGUCUGAUUAGCUAGUUGGUAAGGUAACGGCUUACCAAGGCGACGAUCAGUAGCCGACCUGAGAGGGUGAUCGGCCACAUUGGAACUGAGACACGGUCCAAACUCCUACGGGAGGCAGCAGUGGGGAAUAUUGCACAAUGGGCGAAAGCCUGAUGCAGCAACGCCGCGUGAGUGAUGAAGGCCUUCGGGUCGUAAAACUCUGUCCUCAAGGAAGAUAAUGACGGUACUUGAGGAGGAAGCCCCGGCUAACUACGUGCCAGCAGCCGCGGUAAUACGUAGGGGGCUAGCGUUAUCCGGAUUUACUGGGCGUAAAGGGUGCGUAGGCGGUCUUUCAAGUCAGGAGUGAAAGGCUACGGCUCAACCGUAGUAAGCUCUUGAAACUGGGAGACUUGAGUGCAGGAGAGGAGAGUGGAAUUCCUAGUGUAGCGGUGAAAUGCGUAGAUAUUAGGAGGAACACCAGUUGCGAAGGCGGCUCUCUGGACUGUAACUGACGCUGAGGCACGAAAGCGUGGGGAGCAAACAGGAUUAGAUACCCUGGUAGUCCACGCUGUAAACGAUGAGUACUAGGUGUCGGGGGUUACCC
rnacentral:rRNA from 1 species